rnacentral:rRNA from 1 species
GAUGAACGCUGGCGGCGUGCCUAAUACAUGCAAGUCGAGCGAACGGACGAGAAGCUUGCUUCUCUGAUGUUAGCGGCGGACGGGUGAGUAACACGUGGAUAACCUACCUAUAAGACUGGGAUAACUUAGGGAAACCGGAGCUCAUACCGGAUAAUAUUUUGAACCGCAUGGUUCAAAAGUAAAAGACGGUCUUGCUGUCACUUAUAGAUGGAUCCGCGCUGCAUUAGCUAGUUGGUAAGGUAACGGCUUACCAAGGCAACGAUGCAUAGCCGACCUGAGAGGGUGAUCGGCCACACUGGAACUGAGACACGGUCCAGACUCCUACGGGAGGCAGCAGUAGGGAAUCUUCCGCAAUGGGCGAAAGCCUGACGGAGCAACGCCGCGUGAGUGAUGAAGGUCUUCGGAUCGUAAAACUCUGUUAUUAGGGAAGAACAUAUGUGUAAGUAACUGUGCACAUCUUGACGGUACCUAAUCAGAAAGCCACGGCUAACUGCGUG